ensembl:snRNA U6atac minor spliceosomal RNA
GUGUUGUAUAAAAGGAGAGGUGGUUAGCAGUCCCCUUGAAAUGGCCUUGUGGCCUGCAACACACAUACGGUUAUUCCAUGGUCCGGGUGAAUACCCGUGGUUUAU